rnacentral:lncRNA from 1 species
GAUGCAUUUAAUUUUGCUUGAAACAACUCAAGACAACCUUAAUGAUUGCGUAGGGACUCACAUGUACAAUAAUAAUAAUAAUAAUAAUAAAACUUUAUGCGACAAAUAAGAUGAAUAAAAAUAAGAUAUGUGAUUUCUAAGAACACAUCUGUAAUUUCUUCCCAUGAAACAUUAACUAUAAGCUAAAUAGCAAUUAAUUCUUUUAAUAGAUGCCACAAUGAUUAACCAGCUCCUACAUUGAAAUGAAAAAUAUUCC